rnacentral:rRNA from 1 species
ACUCAAAUGAAUAGACGGGGACCCGCACAAGCGGUGGAGCAUGUGGUUUAAUUCGAAACAAAGCGAAAAACCUUACCAGGGUUUGACAUGCUAGCUACAAGCUUUUGGAAACAAAAGCCUUCUUCGAGAGUGCUAGCACAGGUGCUGCAUGGCUGUCGUCAGCUUGUACCGUGAGGCGCACCCUUAAGUGGGUCAACAAGCGCAACCCCCAUCGUAUGUUAAAUAUCAUGCGAAACUGCCCGCUAAAAGCGUGGAGGAAGGAGGGGAUGACGUCAAGUCAGCACGGCCCUUAUGCCCUGGGCUACACACAUCCUACAAUGGGUGUUUUACAACGAGCAGCAAGCAGGCAACUGCAAGCAAAUCUCACAAAAGCAUCCUCAGUUCGGAUUGAGGGCUGCAAUUUGCCCUCAUGAAGCUGAAAUCGCUAGUAAUCGCGGAUCAGCAGGCCGCGGUGAAUACGUUCUCGGGUCUUGUACACACCGCCCGU